rnacentral:rRNA from 1 species
CCUACGGGAGGCAGCAGUGAGGAAUAUUGGUCAAUGGGCGAGAGCCUGAACCAGCCAAGUCGCGUGAGGGAGUACUGCCCUAUGGGUUGUAAACCUCUUUUGUCGGGGAGCAAAAGCCGGACGUGUCCGGCUGUGAGAGUACCCGAAGAAAAAGCAUCGGCUAACUCCGUUCCAGCAGCCGCGGUAAUACGGAGGAUGCGAGCGUUAUCCGGAUUUAUUGGGGUUAAAGGGUGCGCAGGCGGAUUUUUAAGUCAGCGGUCAAAUCGUGGGGCUCAACCCCAUCCAGCCGUUGAAACUGGGGAUCUAGAGUGUGCGAGAGGUAUGCGGAAUGCGUGGUGUAGCGGUGAAAUGCAUAGAUAUCACGCAGAACCCCGAUUGCGAAGGCAGCAUACCGGUGCACAACUGACGCUCAGGCACGAAAGCGUGGGUAUCGAACAGGAUUAGAUACCCCAGUAGUC